AGCUCCAAUAGCGUAUAUUAAAGUUGUUGCGGUUAAAACGCUCGUAGUCUAGUCUUUGCACCAGUGGUGGUUUGCUACCGCGUUCUAACUUUUAGUUGGUAUCUGCGAUGCACUACUCCCGUUGGCGCACACUGGAACUGGCUGACAUUUUAACAAAAACUACAUGGCCUAACCGUCAUUGUUUUUGUUUUUAAAUGUUGCCGUUCCGAUGUUACUUUGAACAAAUUAGGGUGUUCCAAGCAGGCGUGAUGCCGUGAAUAUACAAGCAUGGAAUAAUGUUAUAAGGCUUUUGGCUUAUUUCGUUGGUUCUCUGUCAGAAGUAAUGAUGAAUAGGAACAGUCGGGGGCAUUCGUAUUUAACAGUCAGAGGUGAAAUUCUUGGAUUUGUUAAAGACGAGCUAAAGCGAAAGCAUUUGCCAAGGAUGUUUUCA
rnacentral:rRNA from 1 species